AUUGUAGUUAAGAGAAACAUUUCCAGAUAAAAAUCCAGAUCUGGGAUGCAUUGAUAAUCGAUUUAUAAUAAAACUAUUUUAUAAUCUGAUCGAAUCGUGAGGUGUUUCAAGAUUCCCAUCUGUAAUCUUGAUCCCAAACUUCCACUGCAGGUGAAGUUUUCCACAUUCCUUGUAUUUCUUGUCAGAUAAUCAAGUGUAGAUUAAAUAUGUGUUCAAACAAACAAAUUAACAGGAGUUAAUGUCAAAUCUGUUCACAUUCUAAUUUGAUAAAGUUCAGUCCACUUUUGUUUUUCCACUUUAAAAUAAUCAUUGCUAGAACAUUCUACCACAUGUUUGAUCACGUCUUUGCUAAAUUCAAAGUGUUUCCACACAUUAGACUGGAAUGAUGGAUGAUAAGUUUUUGUCUGCUGUGAUGGUCGUUUUUAGUCAAAUAAAUAAACAGAUCGAUUGAUCUGGUUGGAUCGUAGGAAUAGAAAUGUAUUCAUUGGUUAAUUGAUAAAAACAUCACUCCUGCUUCUGCUUUGGGCUGUUGGAAAGAUGCUAAAAUCUCAACGGCGUCCCUCUUUUAAAGACCCGCUCAGAUAAAAAUUGUGUUUUUGAUGUUUUUAACAUGUUCUUCUUUUUGUGAUGUAGAAAAUACGCCGGGUGUCUCCCUGCUCCGCUCCAUUUGUAGACAAAUAGAUCCAGGAACGUCUUUGUUUUUCUCGUCUGGAAUCUGGUUAUUUCGCCAUUUUUAUUGUACUGGUUGGAGGUGGGAGGGGCUGUAAGCUAGCAGAAGAGAGUGUAAACAGAGAGCUCUCAGCAACAGGGAGGGAAAGGAGGGGAGAGGUUCAUUUCUAAUGAAAUCUUGCCACUCUGCAGAAACUAUGUCCCAGAAAGCGACGCACGUUUUUGAUUUUGGCAAAAAAAAAAAAAAAAAAAAAACAUUAAAAAAUUGUUGGAGUGGGACUUUAAAGAUUUUUGUGGAGCCUCACAAAAAUGUCAUUUUUAAGACAACUCUCACUUACUACUGUAGGUGCAGAAUCUUAAAGAAGACUGAAAAUCUACUUACUUAAAUUUUUAAGGAGAAUAGCUAAAGGGAAUCAAAUGUAAAAGUGAGGUUGCUGUGGACUGAUCAUUUUUAUGAUUAUCACCUCGUCUGCUUACAGUGUGUGCAACAUGUGAUGUUUGCAUUAACAGAAAGAAGUCAGAAGAUCUUCUUGCAAAAAGACCAACGUAAAAUAUUGAUUAGUUACUGUGCAUCAGAACAUGUUCCUGCACUUUGGGACUUGUAGUUAUCAGGAAAUAAAGUUAAGAGAUUUAAGUUGAUUCAUACUUGAUUUAGUUUUACUGUAAAUUAAAUAUUUUGAUUCCAAAUCUAAACAUUUAGCUUCCUAAAAUGCACAAACUACAGAUUAAAAACCGUAAUGACCUAAACUGGGUUUUAUAUGUAUAUAUAUGGAUUUGUCUGUGUGUAGUUUAGUUUAUGAAUUUAUCAUUACAGCACAAAUACAUUAAGCUUAAAAAGCAAAGAUGUUUGCAGCAAAUUGUAGAUAUAUAGCUAAUAGUAGAAAUCACAAAUGCAUGAUGGGAAAUUCAAACUCAACUCUGGGUGUUCUGUUGUUUCUCAAUGAGGUUUUAAAGAUUUGUGCAAAAUAUUAUAUGUUAUUGUUAAAUUUACUUUUAUUUAUGUAUAAUUUUGCCAAAAAAUUAGAAAAUUAAUUUAUUUUUUAUUCAGGUUUCUGUUUAAAUCCAGGAGCAGAUGAUCCAGAAAACACAAACCCUUCAGCAAUCAGGUGUUGAUUCACACUCAUCAGGAACUAGCUACAUGAGGCCAGAGUGGAUAAUUACAGUGGAAAAACCGGCAUAAGAGUCCAGCCGUCCAUCAAGAGGGCAGAGCCGAGGUCGCAGCAGAGCUGACGGGAUGAAAACGAUGACCGUAGUGGAAACAGGCGUCAGUUCAGAUCACAUCACCAGCCCUGCGGUCCUGUCAAUCAAACCAAAAAAAGUCCUGCCCUUUCGCCUCUGGAAGGUCUAAACUCCCACCGGUCCCUGUUUCUGUCAUGAGACAUGGACAGUAAACCGCAGAUUUUCAUGUAGUUUUAUUUUGAAAAAUAAUAUUUGAAUUGUUUUUGCAAAAUAUUAUCUCAAAAAUUGAGUGAAUUUAUUCAUCCAUGGAUCAAAAAAGUAAAUCAUACAACAAUUACAUUUGAUAAUUCUACAUGUCCUUAGUUGUUGUUCACUACAGAUGUUUAUUUCAGAAGAUGUAAUUUAAUAUACUUGAGAGGAAUGUAUUUUAGGGUAAAAUAAAAAGGAAAAACUAGUAAUAUAUGUAGAAAAAGUGUUAAAAUUAAAGUUAGAGGAAGAAGAGAAAUAGAAAAAAAUAAUUCAAUAACUCACAAAGGAUGAUAUUUGUUAUUUUUUAAAUUCCCAUAACUGCGUUUUCUUUAAGAACGUUUAUCCCCUACAAACACAAGUCUUUCUGUCGAGGAAACAGCAUCACAAAAUGUUCACUUUUCCUGCUUUUUUCCCAAACAGUUAAACUGUAGGAAUGAAUGACGAUGAAUCAAAAUGUAAAAACAGAAUCAUCUAAUCAUCAGCUUAAUUAACCCAAUAAACACGUUUUACAGCUUUCUUUAAAGUCCCACUCCAACUAUAUAUUUUUUCUAUUCUAAAAUCAUUUCCAAUCGUCUUUAAAUUAAUAUUGUGCAGUUUUUAGCUACAAUCAAAAGGCCUGUGUCCUUUUUUUAAGAAGUAUUUUUUAUAGAGUGGAAGGAGCUCAUUAGAAAUUCACUUUUGGGUUGUGUAUCUUUUGAUACGUAAGUUAGCCUCACUAAUUUCCCAUCAUCCCUUUGUUUCCACUCUCUCCCGUUAGCCCAAGCUAAACAGCAAUAUUGGAGCUAUGUAGCCACACAGUUUAGAUCCAGAUUCCAGCUCAGACGAGGAUGAUGAAGAUGGAUCUGUUUGUCUGCAAGUGGAGGAUCAGAAAUUUGGAGACUUUGUUCCUCUCAUGGUAGUAGCCGGGUCACCGGAGCUUUUUCAAGCCGCCGGUUUUCACUUUGUUCCUGAUCAUGCACGACUUGAAUGAAUAAAUACUCAGAAACACA